GUAUUCGCGCUUAAAAUAACCUUCUCCACUCCUCCCUCUCGCUUCUCUCCAAACACCAUACAUGUUUCUUUGAAGAAGAGGGUUUUAUUUGCAGGCAGCAUCUUCCUCCCUUUUUUCUUCUAUCGACACCACCGUUUCCUCUUUUUUCAUUCUCCGGCGUUCAACAAUCCUCUGCGUUUCCCUCUUCCUUUGUUAGUUGUAGUAUGACGUUUGGUUCCGAUGUCAGUUUGGUUCACCAUCAUCAUUGAUCAAGAAAAAGAGUUCAGGUGUUUCUCCUUUGAUUUCUAUGUUGUCACGUAAUAGAAAGCACCCAUCAAGUGAAGAUGAUUGGUCAAGCAACGGAUUUUAGAGAUUGAAGUUUGAUUUUUGGGGGCAUAAGGUUAAAAUGCUUGAAUCUUAAUCAAAUGAGGAGGAUACUUCCAAGAGGACAUCAAUGCCUCAUGGUGUGGCCUUUGGUAGAUUGAAAUGUUUAAAACAAGUGGUCAAGAUAAAGAGGGUGUUGGUGUUUGCUUUCAUUUCUCUUAUGAGGAACCUCUUCAUGUAGCUGUGAUGCUUGUUCCAAUUAUGUUAAGAAAGUAUGGAUUUCAUUUCAUUCUUUCUGGUGAUCUGUACAAGAAAUGGGAUCAGAGUAAUGGUGCAAUGGAUCCAAAAGAAUUUGUUUCAGUCCACAAAGAGGUUUGGGCAAUUUUAGUAGGAUCUUAUUCAUACAAUUCAACAUACGCAAAGAGGCAGUAUGUUGUCAAAAACAGUUGGGAGAAUUUCUCCGGAACAGACUAAAAGGUUUACAAUAAUCAUAGAAAGGGAGGGUUUGAUCGAGAAAGAUGUGGUAAGGACUUGGCAUCUCAUUGCCUUUCUAUGAGGGUGAUGAUAAUCCAAAUAUAUUGUUUAUUGCCAGGGAAGUGACAACCAAUCUCCCUUCUAUUUCUUUUCAUCCACCAAAACCAGAUGAUGUUGCUACAAGUGGACACCAAAGGUGACAAGGUUAUUGCUGAGGCAUUGAAACAAGCUAUACCCAUCUGUUGGAGGAGUUUUUUGCUACAGUUAAACAGCAUGUUCUUAUUGUCAGGUUUGGGCAUUUUUAAUGGGAUCUUAUUCAUAAGAUUCAACAUACACAGAGAGGUGGUAUGUUAGAGUACAUGACUAUCAAAAACCAUUGGCAGAGUAUAGGUUUACAAAAAUUAGAGAAAGGAAGGGUUUGAUCGAGAAAGAUGUGGUAUGCAAAUGACCAUACAUUUCAAAUUAUUUAAAAAGUUGCUUUUUUAUUUAAGUAUUUUGUUUUUGUUUUUAACGUAAGGACUUGACAGGUCAUUGUUGUUCUAUGAGGGUAACCAUUGAUUCCAUAAUGGAAAUGGGAACAAAUAGCCAUGAAUUUCAUAAUGACGUUACCAAAAACUUCGACCGGUUAUGAUACUAUUUGGGUAGUGGUUGACCGUUUGACCAAGUCCGCGUAGGGAUGAGCAUAGGCGGGUACCCGCCUCAUUUGGCGAGAACCAGAACCAGAUACACUCUAGGUGGUUCUUAAAUUUUUUGAACCAGGAGCGGGUAACCUGGUUACAUUAAUUUUGUUAACUUUUGUCGAUAAAACCGCAACUUAGUUCGAUCAAAAUCGAAUCAAUUCGGACCAAAGAGAGACAGAAUCAGACCAAUAUAUUCUAAAUCGGUCUAAGUAACACACACACACACACACACACACACACAUAUAUAUAUAUAUAUAUAUAUAUAUAUAUAUAUAUAUAUAUAUAUAUAUAGAGAGAGAGAGAGAGAGAGAGAGAGAGGAAGGAAGGAUCAUUUGAGAGCUCAUAUAUUUCCGAGAACCAAACAUGAGCCGCUGGAUGAAAAUAAUAGAUGACCACGAUGAUUUGUGGCAUUGUUGUAAAUAAUUGGAAAAAAAUAGAACGGGGGUAGCUUAUUAAAUUGAAUCAAAGGACAUUUUAGGGAGAAGAUAAUUUGGUUGAUCAUCUGUAUACUCUCCCUUCAUCUCGUUUCUCAUCCCGCUUCGACCAUCUCGCCUUAGACUAUCCAUAUCCAAUAAUCUUCAGAUCGUCGACGACAUUUUCUUGACCAAAGUCGACGAAGAUUGGCCGAUGAUAAUGAAUAUGCUUAAGCAGAAUCGAUGAGUAAUGAUGUUUACUUCCAAAUCAGGAAAAGAGGCAUCCGAGGGAAUCACUUAUGAGCGGAGAUGCAUCGUUGAAAAAUCAAUGAAUGCUCAACGUAAUUUUUUGUUUUUGAGCUACUUUAUUGAAUCGUCAUCAUGGAUCUGUUUGACAGUACCUUUGCUGAUACGUGCCUCCUCCACGUUAAUUCUGCCUCCUUCGAAUCCUCACCUGCUGGUCUUCUGAUGUAUUAUUCGUGCAGUCCCUUCGCAUUUUUCUUGAUCUUGAUUCAGUAUCAAAUUACACUCUUGCUGAUAUCAGUCGGCAAUCUAUGCUAUGAAUGUUUAAAGCACAACAACUCUUUGUUUUUAUAUUUGUAUAAAUUAUACUGUUCUCAUGUUACAGACAUCAGAGAUACGUCCGUAUGUUGUUUGUGCUGUUUUGAGAGGCAUAACUUUCAGUGAGGCAAGAUAUAACAGCUUCAUUGAUCUCCAAGAUAAGCUUCACCAAAAUAUAUGCAGGUAAUAUAUGAAUCUUACAGGUGAAGUUGCUUAGGUUCACUAUGUAGUUUCCAACGUACCUCCUUUAUGCCGCCUAAGAUCUUGUAGUUGAUGAAUUGUUUCGGAAGUUCACAAGGCUGUAACAGCUAAAGUCGAGCCUUUGAUGCUGGUUCAGUGUUCAAUGAUUGAAUUCAAAAGCAAGAAGCCGAGGAUAUUAUUGGUGUUUCUCUUCACUAACCAAAGAUGAUCUGAUCUGAUAUACUUAAAUAAUACAUAUAAAUUAAAAUAUCACGUCUUCAUUUGGUUUCUAUACAUCAAAAAACAGUAUUCACAACUUAUAAAUCAUGAGCCAAAACACCUAAAUCAACUAACAAUUAAAAUUCUCAGUUUUGGACCCAAAACAGCCACUGUUUAAAGCUGUUUUAGCACACUUGAAAUCUAUAUAACUUCCGUUUUUAUUUCAUAUUCCAGAAGUUCAGACUUUUAUCUUUUCAUAAUGUACUUUUGAAGGUCCAAACGAUUUUUCUACAAUUUUAUAUGAUUUUUACAAAAUUGUCUACCAAUGCAGCUAAAUUUUGACCAGCCGGUGAAAACAACAGGUUAUGGAAAAAUUAAUGGAUAAACUAGAUUCAAAAUGGAAACUUUGAGAGUUUACGGAUCAUUAAUUCGAUUCCUAGUGAUUUUUCUAUAAUUUUUCCAAUAAAGUGACAUUUGUAAUUUUUGCUGAAUUUUCAAGCUUUGGAUUUCAAAGGCUUUUUGACCACUUAACACAUUAAGACAUCACUAAGAACACCCAUAAGGGUAAAAAUUAGCGUCUUAACAGAAGUGGCAUGUCAAACAAUAAAAAUAUCAUCCCACUCACAACCCACUCAUCAAGGUACAAAAUAUUUGGUGGAAAACAAAGUAGGUUGCACAAAUAGGAACUUGGAUUUCUUCCACCACCAAUUCUCAUAGGACUUUGAAAGCUUGUUUUGAGGCUUAUUGGGUGACUCAAAACAUGAUUAAUCUAAACAAACAACAGAAAAAAUCAUGAGCACUCUUGUAAUUAUUUCUUUCUUUCUCUGUCUCUAUUGUUGGUUUGUAAGUAUGCAGAAAGCAAUUUUUCUGACUCCUUGGACAUGCUUAAGGAUAAAAGUUUAAAAAUAGAAUAUGGUUUUGACUUGCCAUCAUGGUCAGGUGAUGAAUGUGGUGUCAGGGUUCUUAUGAAUGUUGAUAGCUUUGGUGUUGUUGGAGAUGGAGUUUCUAAUGACACAAAGGCCUUUGGAGAUGCAUAGAAGGAAGCAUGUUUUAUAGAUUGCAUUCACGGAAAGCAGUGCAAUAUAAUGAUAUACGCAUGAGAACUCAACUAUAAAAAUGGAAGAACAAGGAUCUCCAUGUGGAUAUGAUUCAAAGUGUCAUCCAACAACUCUUCUAUCAGAUCAAUCAUAAUUGAUAAUGGUUCAUGUUCGAAUUUUCUUGAA